AACGAACGCUGGCGGCGUGCUUAACACAUGCAAGUCGUACGAGAAACACGUCCUUCGGGCGUGGAGUAAAGUGGCGCACGGGUGAGUAACACGUGGGUAACCUGCCUUGUGGACUGGGAUAACUGGCCGAAAGGCCCGCUAAUACCGGAUAUGGCCACAGGGGGCUUCGGCCCCAGUGGUAAAAGUCGGCCUCUCGAAGAAGCCGGCACCAUGAGAGGGGCCCGCGGACCAUUAGCUAGUUGGUAGGGUAAAGGCCUACCAAGGCUGAGAUGGUUAGCUGGUCUGAGAGGAUGGCCAGCCACACUGGAACUGAGAUACGGUCCAGACUCCUACGGGUGGCUG
rnacentral:rRNA from 1 species